rnacentral:rRNA from 1 species
GAGUUUGAUCUUGGCUCAGAUUGAACGCUGGCGGCAUGCCUUACACAUGCAAGUCGAACGGCAGCAUGAUCUAGCUUGCUAGAUUGAUGGCGAGUGGCGAACGGGUGAGUAAUACAUCGGAACGUGCCCUGUAGUGGGGAUAACUAGUCGAAAGAUUAGCUAAUACCGCAUACGACCUGAGGGUGAAAGUGGGGGACCGCAAGGCCUCAUGCUAUAGGAGCGGCCGAUGUCUGAUUAGCUAGUUGGUGGGGUAAAGGCCCACCAAGGCGACGAUCAGUAGCUGGUCUGAGAGGACGAUUAGCCACACUGGGACGUGAGACACGGCCCAGACUCCUACGGGAGGCAGCAGUGGGGAAUUUUGGACAAUGGGCGAAAGCCUGAUCCAGC